GAUGAACGCUGGCGGCGUGCUUAACACAUGCAAGUCGAACGGAAAGGCCCAAGCUUGCUUGGGUACUCGAGUGGCGAACGGGUGAGUAACACGUGGGUGAUCUGCCCUGCACUUCGGGAUAAGCCUGGGAAACUGGGUCUAAUACCGGAUAGGACCACAUUUUGGAUGGUGUGGUGGAAAGUUUUUCGGUGUGGGAUGAGCUCGCGGCCUAUCAGCUUGUUGGUGGGGUAAUGGCCUACCAAGGCGUCGACGGGUAGCCGGCCUGAGAGGGUGUACGGCCACAUUGGGACUGAGAUACGGCCCAGACUCCUACGGGAGGCAGCAGUGGGGAAUAUUGCACAAGGGGCGCAAGCCUGAUGCAGCGACGCCGCGGGGGGGAUGACGGCCUUCGGGUUGUAAACUCCUUUCGCUAGGGACGAAGCGUUAUGUGACGGUACCUGGAGAAGAAGCACCGGCUAACUACGUG
rnacentral:rRNA from 1 species